AGUGAACGCUGGCGGCAUGCCUAACACAUGCAAGUCGAACGCGUGUAGCAAUACACGAGUGGCGGACGGGUGAGUAACGCGUGGGAACCUGCCCAGUGGUAGGGAAUAACUGCGGGAAACUGCAGCUAAUACCCUAUACGCCCUUUGGGGGAAAGAUUCAUCGCCAUUGGAGGGGCCCGCGUCGGAUUAGCUAGUUGGCGGGGUAACGGCCCACCAAGGCAACGAUCCGUAGCUGGUCNGAGAGGAUGAUCAGCCACACUGGGACUGAGAUACGGCCCAGACUCCUACGGGAGGCAGCAGUGGGGAAUAUUGGACAAUGGGGGAAACCCUGAUCCAGCAAUGCCGCGUGAGUGAAGAAGGCCUUCGGUUG
rnacentral:rRNA from 1 species